rnacentral:tRNA from 1 species
AAGAUAUAAAGCCAUAUUUGGGGACCGCUAACUCCCUCUCUAGCAGUUAAAUUCUGUUAAUAUCUUU